ACAUGCCUACAACAUAGCGUUAAUGCAUUGAAUCCCAUUAGAACUCCGCAUUUAAGCGCUCUCAUGCUAGAGUAGUAUUGGGAUGGGUGAUUGUCCGGGAAGUCCUAGUGUUUUACAUGCC
rfam:Picea glauca, whole genome shotgun sequence.